rnacentral:rRNA from 1 species
GAGUUUGAUCCUGGCUCAGAACGAACGCUGGCGGCAGGCUUAACACAUGCAAGUCGAGCGCACUCUUCGGAGUGAGCGGCGGACGGGUUAGUAACGCGUGGGAACGUGCCCUUCUCUAAGGAAUAGCCACUGGAAACGGUGAGUAAUACCUUAUACGCCCUUCGGGGGAAAGAUUUAUCGGAGAAGGAUCGGCCCGCGUUAGAUUAGAUAGUUGGUGGGGUAAUGGCCUACCAAGUCUACGAUCUAUAGCUGGUUUUAGAGGAUGAUCAGCAACACUGGGACUGAGACACGGCCCAGACUCCUACGGGAGGCAGCAGUGGGGAAUCUUGGACAAUGGGCGCAAGCCUGAUCCAGCCAUGCCGCGUGAGUGAUGAAGGCCUUAGGGUCGUAAAGCUCUUUCGCCAGAGAUGAUAAUGACAGUAUCUGGUAAAGAAACCCCGGCUAACUCCGUGCCAGCAGCCGCGGUAAUACGGAGGGGGUUAGCGUUGUUCGGAAUUACUGGGCGUAAAGCGCACGUAGGCGGAUCAGAAAGUAUAGGGUGAAAUCCCAGGGCUCAACCCUGGAACUGCCUUGUAAACUCCUGGUCUUGAGUUCGAGAGAGGUGAGUGGAAUUCCGAGUGUAGAGGUGAAAUUCGUAGAUAUUCGGAGGAACACCAGUGGCGAAGGCGGCUCACUGGCUCGAUACUGACGCUGAGGUGCGAAAGUGUGGGAAGCAAACAGGAUUAGAUACCCUGGUAGUCCACACCGUAAACGAUGAAUGCCAGACGUCAGCAAGCAUGCUUGUUGGUGUCACACCUAACGGAUUAAGCAUUCCGCCUGGGGAGUACGGUCGCAAGAUUAAAACUCAAAGGAAUUGACG